CCCCAAAUUCUUAUUUUUGAGAAACAGAAUGUUCCCCUGAAGUCAUCUUCAAGGGACAGACUGCUUUCAUCUCAAAUCUCUUCUCCAUCUUCCUGGUCCAGGGCUGCCUAACAAGAAGCAGCAUGUUCCAGCCUCUCACAUAGGGCCAAUGGGCAGCAGGCAGAAGUGCUUGAAUGUGGAGGUGGCAAGGACCAGCCUAUGACCAUGCAGACAAGAAUAACAUCCUAGGGAACUGAAAACAGAGACACAAAAUGGAAAGAAAACAGGUCCCUGAAUGCCCAUGUGACCCAGAAUCACCCUGUCAUCCUGGAUCAGCUGGGAUGUUGGCAUGAGAGAAACAAACCUCGCUCUUAUAGAAACUGCUAUAUUUUGGGGUCCUUUUGCUACAACAGCUAAGCCUCUGCCAUUUCCCAGACGUUUCACAGCGCAGCUGUCAUCAUACACCCACGAGCAGCAGGAAUUGGGGCCCAUGGGCUGCAGCUGUGGAAUUACCUAAUGGGCUGAAGUCAGUCAGAAUUGCCAUGUAGUCUGGGGCCUUUGCAGCCAUAACUGUAGGAUGGAGCAUUGAAAGAAAUGGCAUUAUGGCAUAUUUUAAGGAGAAUAAAAACUGAGAAUGAUGAAAGGAAUUGUCAUUUUCGUGGUGAAUAUCUCCUGUUUCAGGUGAUCUCUCAGGAUAGUUGGACUGCUCACAGCGGGCUGGCUUCCCCCAGGGAGCAAAAGCAGAAGCUGCCAGAUCUUCUUAAGGCCUGGGACUGGAAUUGCAUCACAGCUGCUGCAUUCUGUUGGUCAAAGCAAGUCACAAGGUCACCCUGUAUAGAAAAGGGAUUCAAGGGGAACAGAAAUAGACUGCCUCUCAGGAGGAAAAACUGCAAAGAAUUUUAAUUAUUUUAUUGGGGUCAUAUUGGCUUAUAACAUUAUUUAAAUUUCAAGUGUCAUCACUAUAUUUCAGUUUCUGUAUAGACUGCGUCGUGUUCACUACCAACAGUCCAGUUUUUAUCCAUCACCAUACAUAU
ensembl:lncRNA